GGUCAGGACGAACGCUGGCGGCGUGCCUAACACAUGCAAGUCGAGCGGAGUUAACAAGAGGAAGUUUCGGAUGGAAUUUGUUAAUUAGCGGCGGACGGGUGAGUAACGCGUGAGCGACCAACCUUGCACAGGGGGAUAACGGACCGAAAGGUUCACUAAUACCGCAUGAGACCACGGUGUUGCAUGACACAGAGGUCAAAAGGAGCAAUCCGGUGCAAGACGGGCUCGCGUCCGAUUAGGUAGUUGGUGGGGUAAUGGCCCACCAAGCCUAUGAUCGGUAGCCGACCUGAGAGGGUGAUCGGCCACAUUGGAACUGAGAUACGGUCCAAACUCCUACGGGAGGCAGCAGUGGGGAAUAUUGGGCAAGUACGGGGGGAAACCCUGACCCAGCAACGCCGCGUGAAGGAAGAAGGUUUUCGGAUUGUAAACUUCUGUCCUUGGUGAAGAGAAGAAGACGGUAGCCAAGGAGGAACGCCCCGGCUAACUACGUGCCAGCAGCAGC
rnacentral:rRNA from 1 species